CCUGUAGCUCAGUUGGAUAGAGCAGCGGCCUUCUAAGCCGCUUGUCGGGGGUUCGAGUCCCUUCGGG
rnacentral:tRNA from 1 species